GCUCUCUCGUGGCCAGACAGCCGGAGGAAGUGCUCUCUCUCUCUCUCUCUCUCUCUCUCUCUCUGUGUUGCGUGCGCCGGGGAAAAGUUGGCUGCCUGAAUAUUCCGCCGGAAACCGCCUCAAGAUUCGGAGCGGCAGAAUUUUACGGCGAAAUGUGGAAGUUAUGGUCAUUGUUGCAUCUUUUGCACCUUUCCUCGGCGAUGUUGGCUUCUGCGAAGACACGUAGCAAUGGAACCACUUUGUGGAAGACAUUGAGCGGUAUCUCAUGUGCAAGAAGGAAGGGAGAUUUGCAAGGAAAUGCACCUCUAGUCAUAGCGCGUGGUGGCUUCUCAGGGAUAUUUCCUGAUUCCAGUGGAGGCGCUUACGAGUUUGCUGGACAGACCAGCUUACCCGAUGUUAUCAACUGGUGUGAUGUACAGCUGACAAAAGAUGGAGCUGGCAUUUGCUUUCCCGAUCUCACUCUUGACAAUGCUUCUGACAUAAAACAGAUAUAUAAGAACAAGGGUAAUACCUAUUAUGUUAAUGGGGUAAAGACGUCAGGAUGGUUCUCUGUGGAUUUCACCAUCAAUGACCUGGCAAAUGUAACUUUAAUUCAGGGAAUUCCUGCUCGUGUCCCUUACUAUAAUGGCAUAUACAAAAUUCUUACCGUUCAAGUUGUGGCUAAGUUGUAUCCACCAGAAUUAUGGUUGAAUGUCCAGCAUGACGCAUUCUUCAGCCAACAGAACCUGAGUAUGAGAAGCUAUAUACUUUCUGUGUUUAGGAGUACUAAAGUUGAUUAUAUCUCUUCACCAGAGGUGAGCUUCUUGAAGAGCAUACUGGCUCGUAAACCAAACAAAACAAAGUUGAUCUUCCGGUUUCCGGGACAAGCUGAAUUAGUUGAGCCUUCAACCAACCAAACUUAUAGUUCUCUGCUAAGGAAUCUUACGUUUAUCAAGACAUUUGCAUCCGGAAUUCUGGUUCCUAAGACUUACAUAUGGCCUGUUGAUAGAGAUCUAUAUCUAGAGCCUCAUACUUCAAUUGUCUUCGAUGCUCAUAGAGAAGGUCUAGAAAUUUUUGCAUCAGAUUUUGCAAAUGACAACGAUUUUGCUUAUGAUUUCGCCUAUGAUCCUAUAGCUGAGUAUCUGCAUUUUAUCGACAAUGGGAACUUCUCUGUUGACGGUGUGCUUUCUGACUUUCCAAUAACUCCAUCGGAGGCCAUAGGCUGCUUCUCCCACAUAGGUAAACGCAUGAAAGCACAAGCAAACCCUUUGGUUAUCUCAUCAGAAGGAUCAAGUGGUUACUACCCUGGUUGUACUGAUUUGGCUUAUCAGAGGGCCAUUUCAGGUGGUGUAGAUGUUCUUGACUGUCCUGUUCAAAUGUCAAAGGAUGGGAUACCAGUUUGCUUGGGCUCUAUUAACCUCUUAGAUAAGACAAAUGUUGCUGAGUCAAAUUUCAAAAACCUUAUAUUACAAAUUCCAGAACUUGAGGGAGUCACGGGAAUAUUUACUUUCAGUCUAACAUGGAGUGAGAUUCAGAGUUUGAAACCUAAAAUGUCAAAUCCAUAUGGAGAAGAUUACAAGUUGUAUCGUAAUCCAAAAUUCAGUGAGGAUGUUAAGUUCAUGACAUUGUCUGAAUUUCUGGUCCUCGCAAAUAAUGCUAAUUCUGUUUCUGGUGUAUUGAUCAGCAUAGAAGAUGCAGCCUACUUAGCGGAAAAGCAGGGACUAAGUGUAAUUGAUGCUGUUCUUGAUGCCCUAAAAAAUGCAAGCCACAACAAUGACACGGUCAAGAAGGUUAUGAUUCAGUCCACUGACAGUGCAGUUCUGAUCAAGUUAAGGGAGAAAAGCAAUUAUGAGCUUGUUUACAAGGUUCAAGAAGCAAUCCGUGAUGCUGAUAACUUGGCCAUAACAGAAAUCAAGAAGUUUGCCAAUUCUGUGGUAGUCAGAAAGGGGUCUGUCUUUUCUUUCCGCGGGGACUACAUAACUAGUAUUAAAGAUGUUGUAUCAAAGCUACAGGCAUUCAACCUUUCAGUAUAUGUAGGACUCUUCAGAAAUGAGUUUGUCUCUCUAGCCCAGGAUUUCCUUGGAGACGCAAAUGUAGAGAUCAACACAUUUGUGAAGCUUGUUCAAAUUGAUGGCAUUAUCACAGAAUUCCCAGGGACAGCUUCUAGACACAAGAGGAACCGUUGUUUAGGAUUGGGCGAUAAAAUGCCAACUUACAUGAAGCCUGUACGUCCUGGUGAGCUCUUAAGUUUCGUCCCUUCCUUCUUUUCGCCACCGGCUGAAGCUCCUUCCCCUGUACUGACUGAGGAUGAUGUGGUUGAGCGACCUCUGCCUCCUGUUACGGAGGGAGCGCCGGCUCCUAGCAACGGGCCGGCAGCAGCGGCGGCUCCAACCCCACCAAAUGGGGAGGCUAUGGUCCCUCCACCCUUCUUCCUUUCUCAUCUUGCAGCCCUCCUUGCAACUCUUGUAUUCCUGUGAAAGCAAAUGUUGCAGCUCCAUCACUUGGCAUCCAAAAUCCACAGAUUCAAAGCAGCUGAGAAAUUCUUAAUAUUAGUAGCAUUCAUCUUGUUUCUGCCUUUGUAAUAAUGUAAGCACGUUUCUCAUGCUUCUCCCUGCAUUUUAUUUUUGAGAAACCACUCACUGUUAGCUGCAGGUUUCAUAGUUUUGAUCGUGUAAAUGUGUUAAUAAUAUACUCUGAUGUGUAUAUGUAAUAUGUAAACGGGUAUUUCUAUUGCACCAACUUCUCCACCUUGUGGGAA